rnacentral:ribozyme from 1 species
GUAGUGUAGUAGUACCUAUAUAGAUCGUCUUUCCUGUUGCUGUGACCAUUCGUCCCAACGUGGCAAUGACUGGAGCUGCUGCUGCUCUACACCAUUCAUCA